AUCCUGGCUCAGGACGAACGCUGGCGGCGUGCCUAAUACAUGCAAGUCGAGCGGACAGAAGGGAGCUUGCUCCCGGAUGUUAGCGGCGGACGGGUGAGUAACACGUGGGUAACCUGCCUGUAAGACUGGGAUAACUCCGGGAAACCGGAGCUAAUACCGGAUAGUUCCUUGAACCGCAUGGUUCAAGGAUGAAAGACGGUUUCGGCUGUCACUUACAGAUGGACCCGCGGCGCAUUAGCUAGUUGGUGGGGUAAUGGCUCACCAAGGCGACGAUGCGUAGCCGACCUGAGAGGGUGAUCGGCCACACUGGGACUGAGACACGGCCCAGACUCCUACGGGAGGCAGCAGUAGGGAAUCUUCCGCAAUGGACGAAAGUCUGACGGAGCAACGCCGCGUGAGUGAUGAAGGUUUUCGGAUCGUAAAGCUCUGUUGUUAGGGAAGAACAAGUGCGAGAGUAACUGCUCGC
rnacentral:rRNA from 1 species